rnacentral:rRNA from 1 species
AGGACGAACGCUGGCGGCGUGCUUAACACAUGCAAGUCGAGCGGAAAGGCCCUUCGGGGUACUCGAGCGGCGAACGGGUGAGUAACACGUGAGUAACCUGCCCCUAGCUCUGGGAUAGCUCCGGGAAACCGGGAUUAAUACCAGAUACGACCACUUUAGACAUCUGUCGUGGUGGAAAGGAUUCCGGCUAGGGAUGGGCUCGCGGCCUAUCAGCUUGUUGGUGGGGUAACGGCCUACCAAGGCGACGACGGGUAGCCGGCCUGAGAGGGCGACCGGCCACACUGGGACUGAGACACGGCCCAGACUCCUACGGGAGGCAGCAGUGGGGAUAUUGCGCAAUGGGCGGAAGCCUGACGCAGCGACGCCGCGUGCGGGAUGAAGGCCUUCGGGUUGUAAACCGCUUUCACCAGGGACGAAGCGAGAGUGACGGUACCUGGGGAAGAAGCGCCGGCUAACUACGUGCCAGCAGCCGC